AGAAUAGAAUAGAAUAGAAUAGUUUUUUAUUCGUAAACACACAGACAACAGACAUACAUAGAAAAAACAUAGUGAAAAAUAAAGUGUCACGAAAUGGUCCCAUCUCAGCAUGUUGCUGGCGACUUCCAGCGCUGAUCUUCCGAUUAGACCAUCAAGUGAGAAAUAAUCACGGAAGGUAACAGACAAAAAAAAAUUAGUAAAGAAACAUAAAAUAAACCGAAAAAUAGAUUACACACAUUUUACACAGCUAAUACAAAAAGAGAUGAAUUAAGUACACGGAUUAACCGAUCGAACUUGUACAAUCCGGUCGGGUCACAUCGUGGCGCGGCAUUAAGCGCGCAUAACUAGCGCCAGCGGUAGCUACACGAAAUUAAAUUCGAUGACAGAUUUGACAAACAAUAAAGUGAGUGAAUCUAAUAUAAUAUUAUGUAAAAUCUCAAUCAGUUUUAACUUUUUAGUCAUGAAAACAAUGUUACAAAGUUGGCUAAAAUAUAUAAACAAAAACAACACCAAAGUUAAACAAAUAGAAACAUAAUGAAAAUGACACAGAUAAAAAGGAUGGCGUGUCGGGAAUGGUGUUGACUCCUAUGCGGAAGGAACAAGAACAUUGUGGUUUCUCACUGGGGGCGGAAUGUUGUUCCAACAGCGGGACGCAGAAUAUUUAAAGCUUCCUCGGAAAGCGGCUGAGGCAUGACGCGGCGUCAACAGAUGAAUCCCACAAUCACGGCGUUCGCGGAGCUUGAUGCAAGAUAGCUUGUUGAAGAGAUAUGAAGGAGUUUUAUAGUUCAGUACGCCAAAGAGCAAACAAGCCAAGUGUAGUUUACGGCGGUGUUGCAUUUUGAGGAUGCUAUGGCUAUUCAGAUAUGGGGUCACGUGAGCUCUCAACGGAAUAUCGAAACAGAAGCGAGCACAGGCAUUUUGAACACGCUGUAUGAGUCGUUUAGUUUUUGCAAGAAGUCUUGGCCCAAACACAACAU